GAUGAACGCUGGCGGCGUGCCUAAUACAUGCAAGUCGAGCGAACAGACGAGGAGCUUGCUCCUUUGACGUUAGCGGCGGACGGGAGAGUAACACGUAGGUAACCUACCUAUAAGACUGGGAUAACUUCGGGAAACCGGAGCUAAUACCGGAUAAUAUUUCGAACCGCAUGGUUCGAUAGUGAAAGAUGGCUUUGCUAUCACUUAUAGAUGGACCUGCGCCGUAUUAGCUAGUUGGUAAGGUAACGGCUUACCAAGGCAACGAUACGUAGCCGACCUGAGAGGGUGAUCGGCCACACUGGAACUGAGACACGGUCCAGACUCCUACGGGAGGCAGCAGUAGGGAAUCUUCCGCAAUGGGCGAAAGCCUGACGGAGCAACGCCGCGUGAGUGAUGAAGGUCUUCGGAUCGUAAAACUCUGUUAUUAGGGAAGAACAAACGUGUAAGUAACUGUGCACGUCUUGACGGUACCUAAUCAGAAAGCCACGGCUAACUACGUG
rnacentral:rRNA from 1 species